UUCAGUGUGUGGGACCGGUUUCCUCCCUCAAGUGGCUUGGCUAUAAGUGCAAAGUUUGUUUAGGGGUCUGGCACAAAUCCUGCCUUGCAAAAUUGUCAAAUCAGAAUUGUCACCAGUCAACACAGAAAGAAGAAAUUUCUGAAUAUUCAGGGGAAGAUGGAUUGCCACAUUCAGUUCUGGAUCAAAUAUCAAGCGAUGAUGAUGGCAACCACAGCAUAUCAGAAGAAGAAUAUGUGCCAGAUUCAGAGUCAUAUGAUGAAGAUUCAGAUGAAGACAUCUCAUUAUUGCCAAGCACAUCAAAAGGUCUGCUAUGCCAAGAUGACAUCUCCAAAGCGCAUGAACAAUCAGAUUCAACGAAUUUAAUCCACAACUUGACAAAGGACAAGCCAGAAGAUAAAAGUGAGCUUUGCGAAACUGAAUCAGAAAAAAUGACUUUAAGUAAAAGAAAUUACUGCUAUUUUUGUGGCAAACCACAAGCUAAAAUUUCCCGCCACCUGAAAACGCACAAAACAGCUCCUGAUGUUGUGCAUGCAUUUUCCCUGCCUAGAGACUCAAACGAGCGUAAAAGCCUGUUAGAGAAAUUGAGAAAUAAGGGAAAUUUUAAGCAUAAUGCUGCAGUGUUGCAUGGUGGAGUGGGACCACUGAAAGUGAAGAGAAGACCCAAGAUUAAAGCAGUAGAGGGAAAGUUUGCUCAUUGCUUUUAUUGUCAAGGGAUGUAUGUUCGCAAGGAUCUUUGGAGACAUGUCCGCAGAUGUCCUAACAAACCAAAAGAUGACACGGAUAAAGAACCUGGAAGAACCAAAGUACUCGGCCUGGCUUUAACUCUGGAGUCUCAGUGUUAUCCGCAGGUGUCAAGUGGAGUGUGGAAGGUUCUUGCUGUUAUGAAACAAGAUGAGAUUGCCUCAGCUGUGCGAAAUGACUUUACUGUUAUUCAGUUUGCCCAGUCCCUCUACAAUAAACAUG